AUUGAACGCUGGCGGCAGGCCUAACACAUGCAAGUCGAACGGUAACAGGAAGAUUCUUGCUUCUUUGCUGAGGAGUGGCGGGCGUGAGAGUAAUGUCUGUGAAACUGCCUGAGGGAGGGGGAUAACUACUGGAAACGGUAGCUACUACCGCAUAGCGUCGCAAAACCAAAGAGCUGGGCACUCGGGCCUCUUGCCUUCGGAUGGGCCCAGAUGGGUUUAGCUAGUAGGUGGGGUAACGGCUCACCUAGGCGAGGAUCCCUACUGGGUCUGAGAUGAUGACCCGCCCACCUGGAACUGAGGCAAGGUCCCGACUCCUACGGGAGGGAGCCGUGGGGAAUAUUGCACAAAGGGCGGAAGCCUGAUGCAGCCAUGCCGGGUGUAGGGAGAAGGCCCUCGGGUUGUAAAGUACUUUUAGGGGGGAAGAAGGGAGUGAAGUUAAUACCUUUGCUGAUUGACGUUACCCGAAGAAGUAGCCCCGGGUAAAUCCGUU
rnacentral:rRNA from 1 species